rnacentral:rRNA from 1 species
UACGUAGGGCGCGAGCGUUGUCCGGAAUUAUUGGGCGUAAAGAGCUCGUAGGCGGCCUGUUGCGUCCGCUGUGAAAUCCCGGGGCUUAACCCCGGGUCUGCAGUGGAUACGGGCAGGCUAGAGGCAGGCAGGGGAGAACGGAAUUCCCGGUGCAGCGGUGAAAUGCGCAGAUAUCGGGAGGAACACCGGUGGCGAAGGCGGUUCUCUGGGCCUGUUCUGACGCUGAGGAGCGAAAGCGUGGGGAGCGAACAGG